rnacentral:lncRNA from 12 species
GAUGAAAGGGCAUGAGACCACCAACCUAAGCCAGAUGGGCCCUGGGGAGGCAGAGACACUUCAGUCAUGUCAGCCUAUGACCGUUAACAACUAGACAACUGAUGCAUUCUGUACCAACAGCUGGAGCUUCUGGGAGGUCUUUAACCAUAGCCCUAAGCAAAGGGCAUUGAGUCUCACCAGAAACUCUGGUUCUUAGGAAUCCUCAUUUCCUGUGUUACCGCAGUGGUCUCCUGUCUAGCCCUCUGACUGCUUACAGGUCUGAUUAAAUUCAAUAAACAAGUAGUAAGUACCUAUUUUCCAGGCUCAGUGCCAGGCUCUAUCCCUUUAUUUAGAACCAAAUUACAAAGUGUAUGUAUGUACGUAUGUAUGUUUCCUCUAGGGAUGCCAUCUAACCAAUCAGAAAAAAAGCCUGCUCCCCAGGGCAUGGGCCUGCGCAUACACGUCUUGUGGCAAGCCUCGUA